rnacentral:rRNA from 1 species
CAGUAGCCGCGGUAAAACGUAGGUGGCAAGCGUUGUCCGGAAUUAUUGGGCGUAAAGGGCUCGCAGGCGGUUUCUUAAGUCUGAUGUGAAAGCCCCCGGCUCAACCGGGGAGGGUCAUUGGAAACUGGGAAACUUGAGUGCAGAAGAGGAGAGUGGAAUUCCACGUGUAGCGGUGAAAUGCGUAGAGAUGUGGAGGAACACCAGUGGCGAAGGCGACUCUCUGGUCUGUAACUGACGCUGAGGAGCGAAAGCGUGGGGAGCGAACAGGAUUAGAUACCCCGGUAGUCCCUGUCUCUUAUAU